rnacentral:rRNA from 1 species
GACGAACGCUGGCGGCGUGCUUAACACAUGCAAGUCGAACGGUGAAGCGCCUUCCUUUUUGGUGGGUGUGGAUGAGAGGCGAACGGGUGAGCAACACGUGAGUAACCUGCCCCCUUCUUCUGGAUAACCGCAUGAAAGCGUGGCUAAUACGGGAUAUCCUGGGUCUGUCGCAUGAUGGGUCUGGGAAAGAUAUUGGUUCGGUGGGGGAUGCGCUCGCGGCCUAUCAGCUUGUUGGUGGGGUGAGGGCCUACCACGGCGGUGACGUGUAGCCGGCCUGAGAGGGUGGACGGUCACACUGGGAGUGAGACACGGCUCAGACUCCUACGGGAGGCAGCAGUGUGGAAGAGUGCGCAAUGCUCGCAAGCCUGAUGCGGCGACGCCGCGUGAGGAGUGGAGGCCUGCGGGUUGUGAACCUCUUUCGCCAGUGAAGCAGGCCUGCCUGGUUUGUGGGUGGGUUGACGGUAGCUGGAUAAGAAGCGCCGGCUAACUACGUG